AUACGAAGGGGGCUAGCGUUGUUCGGAAUUACAGGGCGUAAAGCGCGCGUAGGCGGAUUGGUCAGUUAGGGGUGAAAUCCCAGGGCUUAACCCUGGAACUGCCUCUAAUACUGCCAGUCUUGAGUUCGGGAGAGGUGAGUGGAAUUCCUAGUGUAGAGGUGAAAUUCGUAGAUAUUAGGAAGAACACCAGUGGCGAAGGCGGCUCACUGGCCCGAUACUGACGCUGAGGCGCGAAAGCGUGGGGAGCAAACAGGAUUAGAAACCCUAGUAGUCC
rnacentral:rRNA from 1 species